rnacentral:rRNA from 1 species
AAAGCUUACCAUGCAGUCUCUUGAUCCUUCGGGUGAAGGUGGCGGACGGGUGAGUAACGCGUAAAGAACUUGCCUUACAGACUGGGACAACAUUUGGAAACGAAUGCUAAUACCGGAUAUUAUGACUGAGUCGCAUGAUUUGGUUAUGAAAGCUAUAUGCGCUGUGAGAGAGCUUUGCGUCCCAUUAGUUAGUUGGUGAGGUAACGGCUCACCAAGACGAUGAUGGGUAGCCGGCCUGAGAGGGUGAACGGCCACAAGGGGACUGAGACACGGCCCUUACUCCUACGGGAGGCAGCAGUGGGGAAUAUUGGACAAUGGACCAAAAGUCUGAUCCAGCAAUUCUGUGUGCACGAUGAAGUUUUUCGGAAUGUAAAGUGCUUUCAGUUGGGAAGAAGUCAGUGACGGUACCAACAGAAGAAGCGACGGCUAAAUACGUGCCAGCAGCCGCGGUAAUACGUAUGUCGCAAGCGUUAUCCGGAUUUAUUGGGCGUAAAGCGCGUCUAGGCGGUUUAGUAAGUCUGAUGUGAAAAUGCGGGGCUCAACCCCGUAUUGCGUUGGAAACUGUUAAACUAGAGUACUGGAGAGGUAGGCGGAACUACAAGUGUAGAGGUGAAAUUCGUAGAUAUUUGUAGGAAUGCCGAUGGGGAAGCCAGCCUACUGGACAGAUACUGACGCUAAAGCGCGAAAGCGUGGGUAGCAAACAGGAUUAGAUACCCUGGUAGUCCACGCCGUAAACGAUGAUUACUAGGUGUUGGGGGUCGAACCUCAGCGCCCAAGCUAACGCGAUAAGUAAUCCGCCUGGGGAGUACGUACGCAAGUAUGAAACUCAAAAGGAAUUGACGGGGACCCGCACAAGCGGUGGAGCAUGUGGUUUAAUUCGACGCAACGCGAGGAACCUUACCAGCGUUUGACAUCCCAAGAAGUUAACAGAGAUGUUUUCCUGCCUCCUCCGAAGAACUUGGUGACAGGUGGUGCAUGGCUGUCGUCAGCUCGUGUCGUGAGAUGUUGGGUUAAGUCCCGCAACGAGCGCAACCCCUUUCGUAUGUUACCAUCAUUAAGUUGGGGACUCAUGCGAGACUGCCUGCGAUGAGCAGGAGGAAGGUGGGGAUGACGUCAAGUCAUCAUGCCCCUUAUACGCUGGGCUACACACGUGCUACAAUGGGUAGUACAGAGAGCUGCAAACCUGCGAGGGUAAGCUAAUCUCAUAAAACUAUUCUUAGUUCGGAUUGUACUCUGCAACUCGAGUACAUGAAGUUGGAAUCGCUAGUAAUCGCAAAUCAGCUAUGUUGCGGUGAAUACGUUCUCGGGUCUUGUACACACCGCCCGUCACACCACGAGAGUUGGUUGCACCUGAAGUAACCAGGCCUAACCCGUAAGGAGGGAUUUCCGAGGUGUGG